rnacentral:lncRNA from 1 species
AUUCAUGUUUGGCUGAAGUUUUAAAAAAAGAAAACAAAAAUGAAGCCACAGCACCCAAGGGCUCUCAAACUUUAAUGUUUGAACAAACAAAUAACCUGGGGAUCUGUUAAAUUUCAGAUUCUGAUUCAGGAGGUCUGGGGUCCCCAGGAAGUCUUCCCUUCUAACAAGUUCCUGGGGAUGCUCAACACUGCCAACACACCCAACCUGAAGACCUGGGUUAUAGAUUGAAUGAUUAUGGACUUGAAUGAGCAUCAUGGCUCUCCAGGGCAGAUGGGACCUUAAAUAAGAAGUUAUCUCACUUCUAAGAGCUUCAGUUUUCUUAUCUGUAAAAUGGGGGCUGGGGGUUUGGUUUGUGGUGCAGUCUGUGUUCAGCACAUACUGGGUUCAAUUCCCAGCACCCAAAGGAGGGGAAAAAAAAGGCAAGCAAUAAUAAUGACCUGUCAUUGUGAUGCUUAAAUGAGAUAAUGCAUUACUGUUUAGCACAGUGUAACAAAUACUAGCUUUUUGCUAGGAUAGCCAAGACUCACAGAAUACUCAUCUGCCA